rnacentral:rRNA from 1 species
AUGGACCAAUCCAUCCCUUUUUCCCGUGCAUAUGCAUCAGACUCGGAUGACGAUGGUCCUGAUGAAGAAGUUGAUGAGGAGGGGUUCACGCCGAAGGAGGCCGAAGCAUUCAAGAAGGUAUUCGGGCGGGAUCACAAGACACCAUUGUUCAAGGAUCUUAGUCUCGCGGAUGAAGCCGUUGUGGAUGGUGGAAAAUGCAUAUCUCUUGGAGCUAGGCCAAGUUCUCAC